AUUGAACGCUGGCGGCAUGCUUUACACAUGCAAGUCGAACGGCAGCACGGGUGCUUGCACCUGGUGGCGAGUGGCGGACGGGUGAGUAAUGCAUCGGAACGUGUCCUGAAGUGGGGGAUAACGCAUCGAAAGAUGUGCUAAUACCGCAUAUUCUCUGAGGAGGAAAGUAGGGGAUCGAAAGACCUUAUGCUUUUGGAGCGGCCGAUGUCUGAUUAGCUAGUUGGUAGGGUAAUGGCUUACCAAGGCGACGAUCAGUAGUUGGUCUGAGAGGACGGCCAGCCACACUGGGACUGAGACACGGCCCAGACUCCUACGGGAGGCAGCAGUGGGGAAUUUUGGACAAUGGGCGCAAGCCUGAUCCAGCAAUGCCGCGUGAGUGAAGAAGGCCUUCGGGUUGUAAAGACGUCUUUCAGUUGUAGAAGAAAAAGUACGUAGACUAAUAAU
rnacentral:rRNA from 1 species